AAGACCUUACGAGAUGCCUAGUAGCGCGAGUCAUCAACUCGCGUUGAUUACGUCCCUGCCCUUUGUACACACCGCCCGUCGCUCCUUCCGAUUGGGUGUGCUGGUGAAGAGUUCGGACUGAGCCAUGGCUCGCAAGAACCAAGGUCCGGGAAGUUCUUUGAACCCUCUCGCCUAGAGGAAGGAGAAGUCGUAACAAGGUUUCCGUAGGUGAACCUGCGGAAGGAUCAUUUAAUUCGAUCAUAACACGCCAAUCAUGGUAACCUAUAUGUGUUAUCCCCCGGCCCCGGGUCCGCCUGGGGAAUCGCGGGGGGUUGUUUUUACACAACCGCCAAAGCGUUUAAUACGAUAUACAAGUCGGGGAUCCCGUCGACCUGGUCGCGGGCCUCGCAACUAACCAAGAAAAACCCCUAACAACGGAUGUCUUGGCUCUCGCAACGAUGAAGAACGCAGCGAAAUGCGAUAUGUAGUGUGAAUUGCAGAAUUACGUGAAUCAUCGAAUUUUUGAACGCAUAUGGCACCCGAGACCUCGGUUGAGGGUAUGUCUGCCUCAGAGUCGGCGUAAAACAUCCCCUCAGGUUAGCUUCACCGCCAAACCUUGAGGGGGAGCUGGCCCUCCCACGGGAGGUGACCUCCGGGUCGCCUCAUCAAGUGGGUUGGCCGAAGGAUAGAGACGAGGGACCGGUGGGAUACUACCACUGGACAACCACGAUUUGGUGGGAGGAUCGGGAGCUCGCUCCCAUAUCCGCAUCAUCGUCGUGUGUCCUUGGGAGCCCCGCAGGUAGCAAGGCCCCCGCCGUACAGGAAAAUAUUUUAUCAUGUUUCGACCUGAGUUCAGGCAAGAUCACCCGCUGAACUUAAGCAUAUCAAAAACGGGGGAGAAAA
rnacentral:rRNA from 1 species